UAGCGAUUUUUCCGGCAUCUACAGUAAUUUUCUGGCAAAAACAUUAUUUCCUUCAUCUGUUUCAGCAAGUAAUCCAACGAUGUCUUUGGGACUCGAUACUUUCGGGUCUAGAAACCCGAGUUCGAUGUUAACUACAUAUGUAACAAGCUCGGUACAUAUGAUUUAUAUGCACCAGCUUGAGGGGGAGUGUUAGAAUAUGUAAUAGUAGAACCCUAAUCCAAUGUGUAUUAGGAGUAGCCUAAUCCAAUGUUUAUUA
rnacentral:lncRNA from 1 species